AUUGAACGCUGGCGGAAUGCUUUACACAUGCAAGUCGAACGGCAGCACGGGGGCAACCCUGGUGGCGAGUGGCGAACGGGUGAGUAAUACAUCGGAACGUGCCCAGUCGUGGGGGAUAACGUAGCGAAAGUUACGCUAAUACCGCAUACGAUCUACGGAUGAAAGCGGGGGACCGUAAGGCCUCGCGCGAUUGGCGCGGCCGAUGUCAGAUUAGGUAGUGGGUGAGGUAAAGGCUCACCAAGCCGACGAUCUGUAGCUGGUCUGAGAGGACGACCAGCCACACUGGACUGAGACACGGCCCAGACUCCUACGGGAGGCAGCAGUGGGGAAUUUUGGACAAUGGGCGCAAGCCUGAUCCAGCCAUUCCGCGUGCAGGACGAAGGCCUUCGGGUUGUAAACUGCUUUUGUACGGAACGAAAAGGCUCUGGUUAAUACCUGGGGCUCAUGACGGUACCGUAAGAAUAAGCACCGGCUAACUACGUGCCAGCAGCCGCGGUAA
rnacentral:rRNA from 1 species